GGUCGCCAACGAGUGGCGGACGGGUGAGUAACACGUAGGUAACCUGCCCAGAAGCGGGGGACAACAUUUGGAAACAGAUGCUAAUACCGCAUAACAACGUUGUUCGCAUGAACAACGCUUAAAAGAUGGCUUCUCGCUAUCACUUCUGGAUGGACAUGCGGUGCAUUAGCUUGUUGGUGGGGUAAUGGCCUACCAAGGGCGAUGAUGCAUAGCCGAGUUGAGAGACUGAUCGGCCACAAUGGGACUGAGACACGGCCCAUACUCCUACGGGAGGCAGCAGUAGGGAAUCUUCCACAAUGGGCGCAAGCCUGAUGGAGCAACACCGCGUGAGUGAAGAAGGGUUUCGGCUCGUAAAGCUCUGUUGUUAAAGAAGAACACGUAUGAGAGUAACUGUUCAUACGUUGACGGUAUUUAACCAGAAAGUCACGGCUAACUACGUGCCAGCAGCCGCGGUAAUACGUAGGUGGCAAGCGUUAUCCGGAUUUAUUGGGCGUAAAGAGAGUGCAGGCGGUUUUCUAAGUCUGAUGUGAAAGCCUUCGGCUUAACCGGAGAAGUGCAUCGGAAACUGGAUAACUUGAGUGCAGAAGAGGGUAGUGGAACUCCAUGUGUAGCGGUGGAAUGCGUAGAUAUAUGGAAGAACACCAGUGGCGAAGGCGGCUACCUGGUCUGCAACUGACGCUGAGACUCGAAAGCAUGGGUAGCGAACAGGAUUAGAUACCCUGGUAGUCCAUGCCGUAAACGAUGAGUGCUAGGUGUUGGAGGGUUUCCGCCCUUCAGUGCCGGAACUAACGCAUUAAGCACUCCGCCUGGGGAGUACGACCGCAAGGUUGAAACUCAAAGGAAUUGACGGGGGCCCGCACAAGCGGUGGAGCAUGUGGUUUAAUUCGAAGCUACGCGAAGAACCUUACCAGGUCUUGACAUCUUGCGCCAACCCUAGAGAUAGGGCGUUUCCUUCGGGAACGCAAUGACAGGUGGUGCAUGGUCGUCGUCAG
rnacentral:rRNA from 2 species